AGCGGAGGAAAAGAAACCAACAGGGAUUGCCCCAGUAGCGGCGAGUGAAGCGGCAAGAGCUCAGAUUUGAAAUCGUGUUUCGGCACGAGUUGUAGAGUGUAGGCGGGAGUCUCUGUGGAGCGCGGUGUCCAAGUCCCUUGGAACAGGGUGCCUGAGAGGGUGAGAGCCCCGUAGGGUGCUGCGCGAAGCUUUUGAGGCCCUGCUGACGAGUCGAGUUGUUUGGGAAUGCAGCUCCAAGCGGGUGGUAAAUUCCAUCUAAGGCUAAAUAUUGGCGAGAGACCGAUAGCGAACAAGUACUGUGAAGGAAAGAUGAAAAGCACUUUGAAAAGAGAGUGAAACAGCACGUGAAAUUGUUGAAAGGGAAGGGUAUUGGGCUCGACAUGGGGGGUGCGCACCGCUGUCUCUUGUAGGCGGCGCUCUGGGCGCCCUCUGGGCCAGCAUCGGUUCCUGCUGCGGGAGAAGGGGCUCCGGAAAGUGGCUCUUCGGAGUGUUAUAGCCGGGGCCAGAUGCCGCGUGUGGGGACCGAGGACUGCGGC
rnacentral:rRNA from 1 species